UGGGCUGUGGCUCAGUGGUAGGGUGCUCACCUAGCAUGUGUGAGGCCCUGGGUUCCAUCCUCAGCACCACAC
rnacentral:tRNA from 1 species